CUCACAACAACUAAUUCCACAUAAUUAACUCAAUCACAUCGAAAAUCAAUUUCCACAAAAGAAAUUCUCAUUCAACAUCCACAUUAAUAAAAACAAAAGUCGCAAAUUUUUCGGGGUGCUACAUGUAGUCUAGUACUGAACUCAUUUAUGAAUUCUCGUCCCUUGUUGCAAGUGCACUCAGGAGAUGGCACUUUGUGGCUGUUUUCCUUGACCAUAGCAGGUCUAACGCACGUGGUACAGUCUGCUAUCUGCAGCGUUGCAGUGCAGCAGUUGGAGGGGAGGAAUUUGUUGGCUGAUCUUGCCCUUCUCGGCCCAGCUCUUCCUCACUUUUACAAGAGGGCUAAGGCUAUGGUGCCGAGGCUGUCUUCCCUCGUGGUCUCGCCCUCUCGGCUCGUCUGACAUUCUGGGGCCGAGACGGCUCGCGUUAAAGGCCGAGGAAGUUCACUAGGAACUCUCGGUUGUAAAAGAAUAGCUCGACUAAGAUUUCUCUUCUUUUCUGUAUCUUAACAUGUAUGCAAACUCUAAAAUCGUUGGUGUUUAUUUAAUUUCAAGCAUUUGUAAAUUGUUAGCUUUGAAGUUUCUGGAAAUUUGUAUUUAUACUCUUAUUCAAGAAAUAAAAAUACCCAUUCAUUCUUUA